GUGCUUGCUCUGGCAGCACAUGUACGAAAAUUGGAACGAUACGGAAAAGAAUAGCAUGGCCCCUGAGGAAGGAUGACGUGAAUUCGUGAAGUGUUUCAUAUUUUU